CCUUAUUCCCCAGUCAUCAGUGGCGUCAUCCAGCGUGCUCUGGAAAGAGAAGUGAGGCACCACGGCUCCUGUCCAGAUGCCCAGAGCAGCCGCAGCCACUGGGAUGUGGUGUAGGAAACAGGAAAUUGCUCCAGCAGUGAAUCAUCACCGGGGAAUUUUGUUCACUUGGGGUGUAGCAGCAGAUCCAUUACAUCACAGUAUGUGAUCUUGUUUCCAAAUGCAGCCGAGUGCUGAGGUACUGACAUCCAAGGCUUUAGCAUCUGAAUUUGGGGACAAUGCAUUUUUACCUCAUAAUAACAUCUACGAGUACAAGGGCCUUCUCUGCUGUGACAAAUGUGUUGCUGUCAAGCAUGUGCUAAAGUAAACCCUUCCUCCCUCAAGAAGGAAAGGAAAAGAUUCUUUUAAAGACUCAUGUUAAGAAGUUGCUUGGUGUGAGGAGCAGCUCAGUGAGGAAGCUCUUGCUGUGUGAGCACAGGGUGCUGCAUUCAACUCACAGCACCGUGUCAGAAGCUGCGACGGCUGAAGAGAUGGCCUCACCGAGUUGCUCCUGCCCAGGACCUUGGCUUAGUUCCUGGCACCCACAUAGGGUGGCUCACACCCACCUGAGCUCCAGCUCCAGGAGCUCUACCACCAUCUUCUGGCUUCCGUGGGUUCCUGCACACACAAACUC